AAAGAUUAAGCCAUGCAUGUCUAAGUAUAAGCAAUUAUACAGCGAAACUGCGAAUGGCUCAUUAUAUAAGUUAUCGUUUAUUUGAUAGUACCUUACUACUUGGAUAACCGUGGUAAUUCUAGAGCUAAUACAUGCUAAAAAUCCCGACUUCGGAAGGGAUGUAUUUAUUAGAUUAAAAACCAAUGCCCUUCGGGGCUCACUGGUGAUUCAUGAUAACUCCUCGAAUCGCAUGGCCUUGUGCCGGCGAUGGUUCAUUCAAAUUUCUUCCCUAUCAACUUUCGAUGUUUGGGUAUUGGCCAAACAUGGUUG
rnacentral:rRNA from 1 species